rnacentral:lncRNA from 1 species
AAGAGCAAGAAAGUUUUUAGGACUUUUUAGAAGUUAUCAUCAGCAUUUCAGUAUAAUUAGAGAGCUAGAAAGCCCCAAGACCCUCAGACGUUAAAGCCAUCACCAGAGUCCUUACUCUGUGACUCCACUGCUACCCCUGGCCCGGGCCAGGAGGCUCCCAAUGUUCUAAUUUGGCACCCGAACAGCGACAUUGAAUAAGCU